rnacentral:rRNA from 1 species
CACGUAGGGUGCGAGCGUUGUCCGGAAUUAUUGGGCGUAAAGAGCUCGUAGGCGGCUUGUCGCGUCGAAUGUGAAAACUCGGGGCUCAACUCCGGAUCUGCGGUGGGUACGGGCAGACUAGAGUGAUGUAGGGGAGACUGGAAUUCCUGGUGUAGCGGUGAAAUGCGCAGAUAUCAGGAGGAACACCGAUGGCGAAGGCAGGUCUCUGGGCAUUAACUGACGCUGAGGAGCGAAAGCAUGGGGAGCGAACAGG